CCUCCUCGAUCCCGAUCUGGAUCAAGGGGACGAGGAGCUCGUGCCUCCCCGACGACCGGCCUCCUCCUCGCCCCGCCGCUGCGUCCGGCGCCGCCACGGCCUCUGGAGCCAGGGAAGCCAUGGCCUGAGCUCGGCCUCGAGGUCCCCGCCGCCGUCUCCUGCAGAUUCUGCCCCGCCGCCUCGCCGCCCGAGCUCGCCGUCGCACCAACCUCGGCGCCGCGCCGACGUCGGCUCUGGUCGCCUCCACCUCCGCGCUGUGAGGAACCCACCACGCGCGUCAAGGCGAGGCGCCUCCUGGGCUCCGUCCGUUUCCAGAGCGAGCGCCCGUGAAUACCUAGCUAGCCGCCGCCGUCGUGAUCGUUCCAGCCAUCGCCAAGGUAAGGUGCUUUCUCAAUCUCGAUUUCCUUCCUUCCCCAUCAAGGUUAAUUUGGAUGCGUACUUAUGUGAUUUUGGUGUUGCUCAUUGGAUUUGUAUACGUACGUACGUGUGUCUUCGAUCUGCUUCGUUUAGAUACGUUGUUAAGUAAUUCACAUCUUCCCCGUUACGAUACGUGCAUGAUCUUGUCUUGUGCUCUUCUGCUCAUUGGACUGAUGCAUGAAGGACAAGAGCUUGCAUAGAGUUUUUAGUAGAAGACGACGUAAAUUGUGGUAUUGGCCGCAAUCUGGAAGUUCUUCAGAUCCAAAUCCUGCUUCAGAAAGUGUAUAUGAAGCAAAGGUCUGCACCUACAUGUUAUCAGAAGUCAGGUCUUAGACAAGGAAAGUGGCAGGAGUGAUGAAGAACUAAAACAUAGUUACAGUGGGCGUUUUUUAUAGGAACAAAACUGAAGAAUUUGACAUUAACAUAAUUUUAUUACUAAAUCAGGUGUCCCUGGUUUUGUUAGCAUCAGGACAUGUUGACCUAAUUGUCCAUGGUUACACUCAUCUUCAAACAGCACAACUUGUUUUGCUGCACAUCUUCUCUUACCAUAUGAUGAAUAGAACGACGGCGCCGACAUGGAUGACUCGGAGCUCAACCUUGUCAAGGGCCGCGAGCAGCGGCAACUUUCUUUUCCACGAGAAGAUGACCAAGGGCGCCAUCGGCCACUUUGUCUUCGCCGUCGAAGAGUCCAAGCUCGUCUCCGCAUCGGUUGCAUUGGUGCCGAUCAGGGAAAUGUGGACACUGGAUGAGCCUGUUAUACAAUACAGUCGCGCACCUCUAUCGCGUCGAGAAGGACAGGAAUUCUCAGGAGAGUUUUCUCCCUUUCGCAGGAUACACGAGACUGUGCGACGUCCGCUGGACAAAGCGGUUGGACUAUUUGAGACCGCUUGACAUGAUGUGGUUGGUCCGGCGCCGUUUUGCGGGUUUUCUUCAUGGGACGGCGCAGCGGCUUAGUGGGCUGUCCCCCCCCACACACAGUUGCAUCCUUACCCCUGACCCAUUGAUUCUUCCCCGUUUGCUUUGAAUUUGAUGUUCAACUAUAGGACUAAAUUUUGAAGUUUGUCUUGGUUUAUCUUGAAUUCCCUCUGACCCCUAAUCAUCUGUGUGUAGUAGAACUACUUGUCCUUCCCAUACCUCCACUAACUUUUUUCUUACUAUAUCAUAGUUGUUUGAUUAUUGGCAAAUAAAACAACAAUUAUUUACCUUAUCCUUUUUUAUCUGCAGAUUGGUCUAGCAACAUAGAGAGGAAGCUGCAAAGAAGCUCCAAGUGGAUGUAGAGGUACAUGUAUCUGUGAUUUUAGGACCACUACAACCAAAGUUUUCAUGAAAACUGCAGGGUUGCUUAAGAGGAACAAACAGUUCUUAAGUUCAUUACAUUAGAGUGGCUGCUCAGCUGUAAAUUAGUAAUACAUGCACAUAGAGACUAAUCUGCUAUGUUCAGUAGUAAUACAUCAAUUAAGUUCAGUACAUGGUUCGUGUAUUGCAUAUGAUGGUUCAGAUAUGGUUUAUUCCAUUCAGGCUAUUUUGCUAUGUUGUGAUGAGUUUGGGCAUUUGGAUGAAGAGAGCAAAUCAAUUAUGGAGAAGAAUUUUUGUGUGCCAUGGAUUUACCAUUGAUGAUUUAGACUUUAGUCUGCAUCAUCAUUGUAGUAUUAUAUUACUAAACACUUGAUUUUUCUUCAUUUAGACAUUUCUUUUUGGUAGGCACACCUAUGUCAACAUAUUGUGCCCUCCUUAAAUUCAGUUACAAGUACUUAUGUGUGUGUGAUGUUGCCUUCUCUUAUGAUGUGCUCAUAGGCCAAAGUGAUUUCUCCUCUCUUUAUCUGUAAAACUAUAACCCAACAUUCUUGGCCGCCCACCCAUGUUUGACUUGGUCUAUAUGGCAGUGUGCAGAAAGCCUGAGCCCAAGAAAACUCCAUUGUGGCUCACUGAUUCUGCUGAUAAGUCGUAUAAAAAGAGUCAUGUGCUAUCUAUUUAUUAUUAUUAUUAUAAGUUCAUCACUACCACUUUUACUUCUCUUUAUUGUUUUAUGUGCCUUUGUAUAAUAUGCUAUUAUAGGAUAUUUUCUUAUUCCAAUCAAAUCCAUAAUAUAGUUCAUCCUUACUAAAUAGUAGUGUCUACUUAACUAAUCUGUACUAAGAUCUGGUGGCUUUGGUAGUUUCAUCACUAUCUUGCACUUCUUAUAUAUAAGGCCUCUUUAGGAACUUCUAAAUUUUUAUUUUGUCAUUAGUGGUGUGGUGUGUCUGGUUAAAUUGGUGUUACUAAUAGCUUUCUUUCAGUUUUCUCUUCAAUUUCAGCUUGUGGAAUUUGAGGAGAAUCUGUGCACCAGCAUCCGACUCCUUGAUGUUGCUCUGAUCAUAUUGUGUAAAUAUAUUUCUAAUAAAGCAAUCGCCCGGUGGUGUACAUGUUAGAAAUAAAAAGAUGUAAUCAUCAAGUGUGAGAGAUGGCAACAUCAUAAUGGGAUGGUAUGUACUGUUGUGCUCAUCAAUAGGGGGAGCUCAAGGUCAUGGCGGGGCUUCGUUUUUUCUUGUAGAAAAGAGAGACAUAGGAGGAUCCAGGGAGGAGGAGAGGUAGGAGAAGAAGGACGGGGAAGUAGGAAGGGUGCAAUAGGGGUGAGUGUGCUUCCGCCUGCCACGCCCAAGGCUUGAUCUGCCGCCGCCUCUCCUCUACCCAUGCUGUCUGUGACACGUCAGAUCCCCAACUGCCGUCACUUCUCCUCUGCCCAUGGGCCAUGGCUGUUUUAAUGCAUCAAAUCCACUACAGAUCGAUCUGCUGUAACAUUGGCUGGGUGUUCUCUUCUCGACUCUACCAACACUCUGGAGUUACAAGCAAUUGCAUCAGGAGCUCGGUCAAAAAUCACCUAAGAAAAAUAUGUCAUUCUUCUCUACAAGGGUUGCAUGUGGAAUUUGAGGAGAAUCUGUGCACCAGCAUCCGACUCCUUGAUGUUGCUCUCAUCAUAUUGUGUAAAUAUAUUUCUAAUAAAGCAAUGGCCCGAUGGUGUACAUGUUAGAAAUAACAAGAUGUAAUCAUCAAGUGUGAGAGAUGGCAACAUCAUGAUGGGAUGAUGGAUAGACAAGUACCGAAGAUUGAUGCAAGCAAAACUAAAACCUGUCCAUGGAUUACCUUCAGUCCCGCAUUCCAAUCAACAACAUUGAGCCGAGCGAGCGCACGGGUGGCGCAAGAGGCAAUGGGCAGCCGGUGGAGACUGAGUGGUGAGUGGCGGUGGCGAGGUCGAGCGGUUGGCACCAGUGGCAAUUACCGUGACGGGUGAGCGGACGGGGCGAGUAGGUGUCACGAUUGCAUCACAAUUGGAAUAAAGUAAAAAAAUGCAUACAUAUGGCCAUUGACUGAUUUUGUGUGUUGUGUU